CCUACGGGAGGCAGCAGUGAGGAAUAUUGGUCAAUGGGCGGAAGCCUGAACCAGCCAAGUAGCGUGCAGGAUGACGGCCCUACGGGUUGUAAACUGCUUUUAUACGGGAAUAACGCGCCUUACGUGUAGGGCUUUGCAUGUACCGUAUGAAUAAGGACCGGCUAAUUCCGUGCCAGCAGCCGCGGUAAUACGGAAGGUCCGGGCGUUAUCCGGAUUUAUUGGGUUUAAAGGGAGCGUAGGCCGCAUGUCAAGCGUGCUGUGAAAUGUCCGGGCUCAACCCGGGCCUUGCAGCGCGAACUGGCGUGCUAGAGGCGGCGGGAAGCAGGCGGAAGGCGUGGUGUAGCGGUGAAAUGCUUAGAUAUGACGAAGAACCCCGAUUGCGAAGGCAGCUUGCUGCAGCGGAACUGACGCUGAUGCUCGAAAGCGCGGGUAUCGAACAGGAGUAGAUACCCUUGUAGUC
rnacentral:rRNA from 1 species